GGCCUUCGUGGAUAAGUGGUAACGCUCGCGAUUUUGAUUCGUAAGGUCGAGGGUUCGAGGCCCGCCACGGUCU